UACGUAGGGUGCAAGCGUUGUCCGGAAUUAUUGGGCGUAAAGAGCUCGUAGGCGGUUCGGUAAGUCGGGUGUGAAAUCUCUGGGCUCAACCCAGAGACGCCACCCGAUACUGCUGUGGUAGAGUCCGGAAGAGGAGAGUGGAAUUCCCGGGUGAUAGCGGUGAACUGCGCAGAUAUACGGGAAGAACACCUAUGGCGGAAGGCAGCUCUCUGGGACGGUACUGACGCUGAAGACGCGAAAGCGUGGGGAGCGAACAGGG
rnacentral:rRNA from 1 species